rnacentral:rRNA from 1 species
CCGGCGCACGGGUGAGUAACACGUAUGCAACCUGCCUGCCACAGCCGGAUAAUCGGGAGAAAUUCCGUCUAAUACGGCAUAAUGCAUCGACGGGACAUCCUGUUGGUGCCAAAGGUUAAUUCCGGUGGCGGACGGGCAUGCGUCGCAUUAGUUAGUUGGCGGUGUAACGGACCACCAAGACGACGAUGCGUAGGGGUUCUGAGAGGAAGGUCCCCCACACUGGUACUGAGACACGGACCAGACUCCUACGGGAGGCAGCAG